AUGGCACGCCGUGGUUUUUUUGGGUAUGAUCCCUACGACUGCUACUACCCUGCGUCGCCCUACGCCUACGAUUACGAUCCAUACUACCACAGUCCCGCCGUCGACGCGUUCUUCGCCGAGCCGCUCGUGACGGCCCGCCGGAGGGCCCCGACGCAGCACGACGACGGCUUCUUCCCUGGAUUCAGAGUCUCCGAGCCGGCGGCGCGGACCAGGGCGCGUCCCAGGCCCAGCAGCGGGUCCCCGAAGAGCUGCCCCGACUGCUACGAGGUGGAGGUCACAGGGCCCGAGCCUGACUCGCCGCCCGCGGUGCCGAGGAAGCCGGCGCCGUCAGCGGAGGAGGCCGCGGCGAGGGUGCAGGCGGCGGCGCGCGGGCUGCUCGCUCGUCGCAUGGUGCGGGAGGUGCGUGCGGUGGAGCGCCAGGCCGAGGCCGUGGCCGCGAGGGUGGCGGCCGAGGCGGAGGCGCUCCGCGAGGACGCCCGUGCGCGGAUCGGCCUCGGGGAGGAGCUCAUGCGGCUGCUGCUCCGUCUCGACGGCGUGCGCGGUGCCCGGGAGUACCGCAGGAGGGUCACCAGGCGCGUGCUCACGCUCCAGGACGCAGUUGACGCUCUCGAGGCCGCGCCCGCGGUGGUGACCGCCGAUGCGCCGGAAGUUCAUAAUGCAGAGGAAGAAGCGGAGGAUGGGAUGGAACCGGAGUUGGAGCUGCCGGUUGAGGACAACACUGCGGCUGAUCCUCUGGUUGCCGAGACAACUGACACGGCGGCAAUGGAGGUUGACGUGGCGAGCCCCGUCGUCCUCGUCGUCGACGAGGCCGAGAUCGAACUGGUGGCGGAAGGGGAGAAGGCCUCGGAGGCGGAGGGGGAGUGGGAGAUGGUGGCGACGGGAGACGGCGACGUCUCCACUGGCGAGAAGGAACCUACACCACCCAAAGCGCAGCAGCAGCAAGAACAGGCACAGGAGGAGAAGAAAACAGUGACCACCGACGGGCUGGAUGCGAAGAAACUGAUGGAGAUGGUGGCGGCACUGUGCGAGCGGAGCGCGCAGCAGUGCACUCUGAUCGGCUCCCUGGCGGAGCGGGUGGACAUGCUGGAGCGCGCCGUCCGGCGGGUGGAAGAGGCCGACCGGCGCAGGCAGAGGAGCAUGAAGACCAAUAAGGACGGCAAGAAGAACACUAGCUUCUACAGCGACUAG
rnacentral:rRNA from 1 species